rnacentral:rRNA from 1 species
AGCGAACGCUGGCGGCAGGCCUAAACAUGCAAGUCGAACGCCUGUAGCAAUACAGGAGUGGCAGACGGGUGAGUAACACGUGGGAACGUACCCUUUGGUUCGGAACAACACAGGGAAACUUGUGCUAAUACCGGAUAAGCCCUUACGGGGAAAGAUUUAUCGCCAGAGGAUCGGCCCGCGUCUGAUUAGCUUGUUGGUGAGGUAACGGCUCACCAAGGCUACGAUCAGUAGCUGGUCNGAGAGGAUGAUCAGCCACACUGGGACUGAGACACGGCCCAGACUCCUACGGGAGGCAGCAGUUAGGAAUCUUGGACAAUGGGCGCAAGCCUGAUCCAGCCAUGCCGCGUGAGUGAUGAAGGCCUUAGGGUUGUAAAGCUCUUUUACCCGGGAUGAUAAUGACAGUACCGGGAGAAUAAGCUCCGGCUAACUCCGUGCCAGCCGCCGCCGUAAG